rnacentral:rRNA from 1 species
GGAUUAGAUACCCUGGUAGUCCACGCCGUAAACGAUGUCAACUAGCUGUCUGUGUUCUUGAAGCGUGGGUAGCGUAGCUAACGCGCUAAGUUGACCGCCUGGGGAGUACGGCCGCAAGGUUAAAACUCAAAUGAAUUGACGGGGGCCCGCACAAGCGGUGGAGCAUGUGGUUUAAUUCGAUGCAACGCGAAGAACCUUACCAUCCCUUGACAUCCAGAGAAUUUUCUAGAGAUAGAUUAGUGCCUUCGGGAACUCUGAGACAGGUGCUGCAUGGCUGUCGUCAGCUCGUGCCG